rnacentral:rRNA from 1 species
GACGAACGCUGGCGGCGUGCUUAACACAUGCAAGUCGAACGGUAAGGCCCUUCGGGGUACACGAGUGGCGAACGGGUGAGUAACACGUGGGUGAUCUGCCCUGCACUUUGGGAUAAGCCUGGGAAACUGGGUCUAAUACCGAAUACACCCUGCUGGUCGCAUGGCCUGGUGGGGGAAAGCUUUUGCGGUGUGGGAUGGGCCCGCGGCCUAUCAGCUUGUUGGUGGGGUGAUGGCCUACCAAGGCGACGACGGGUAGCCGGCCUGAGAGGGUGACCGGCCACACUGGGACUGAGAUACGGCCCAGACUCCUACGGGAGGCAGCAGUGGGGAAUAUUGCACAAUGGGCGCAAGCCUGAUGCAGCGACGCCGCGUGAGGGAUGACGGCCUUCGGGUUGUAAACCUCUUUCAAUAGGGACGAAGCGCAAGUGACGGUACCUAUAGAAGAAGGACCGGCCAACUACGUGCCAGCAGCCGCGGUAAUACGUAGGGUCCGAGCGUUGUCCGGAAUUACUGGGCGUAAAGAGCUCGUAGGUGGUUUGUCGCGUUGUUCGUGAAAACCCACAGCUUAACUGUGGGCGUGCGGGCGAUACGGGCAGACUUGAGUACUGCAGGGGAGACUGGAAUUCCUGGUGUAGCGGUGGAAUGCGCAGAUAUCAGGAGGAACACCGGUGGCGAAGGCGGGUCUCUGGGCAGUAACUGACGCUGAGGAGCGAAAGCGUGGGGAGCGAACAGGAUUAGAUACCCUGGUAGUCCACGCCGUAAACGGUGGGUACUAGGUGUGGGUUUCCUUCCUUGGGAUCCGUGCCGUAGCUAACGCAUUAAGUACCCCGCCUGGGGAGUACGGCCGCAAGGCUAAAACUCAAAGGAAUUGACGGGGGCCCGCACAAGCGGCGGAGCAUGUGGAUUAAUUCGAUGCAACGCGAAGAACCUUACCUGGGUUUGACAUGCACAGGACGCCGGCAGAGAUGUCGGUUCCCUUGUGGCCUGUGUGCAGGUGGUGCAUGGCUGUCGUCAGCUCGUGUCGUGAGAUGUUGGGUUAAGUCCCGCAACGAGCGCAACCCUUGUCUCAUGUUGCCAGCACGUUAUGGUGGGGACUCGUGAGAGACUGCCGGGGUCAACUCGGAGGAAGGUGGGGAUGACGUCAAGUCAUCAUGCCCCUUAUGUCCAGGGCUUCACACAUGCUACAAUGGCCGGUACAAAGGGCUGCGAUGCCGUGAGGUGGAGCGAAUCCUUUCAAAGCCGGUCUCAGUUCGGAUCGGGGUCUGCAACUCGACCCCGUGAAGUCGGAGUCGCUAGUAAUCGCAGAUCAGCAACGCUGCGGUGAAUACGUUCCCGGGCCU